UGCGCAGGCGGCUUUGCAAGACAGAUGUGAAAUCCCCGGGCUCAACCUGGGAACUGCAUUUGUGACUGCAAGGCUAGAGUACGGCAGAGGGGGAUGGAAUUCCGCGUGUAGCAGUGAAAUGCGUAGAUAUGCGGAGGAACACCAAUGGCGAAGGCAAUCCCCUGGGCCUGUACUGACGCUCAUGCACGAAAGCGUGGGGAGCAAACAGGAUUAGAUACCCCGUUA
rnacentral:rRNA from 1 species